GACGAACGCUGGCGGCGUGCUUAACACAUGCAAGUCGAACGGUAAGGCUCCAGCUUGCUGGGGUACGCGAGUGGCGAACGGGUGAGUAACACGUGGGUGACCUGCCCUGCACUUCGGGAUAAGCCUGGGAAACUGGGUCUAAUACCGGAUAGGACCGCACCGUGAGGGUGUGGUGGAAAGUUUUUUCGGUGUGGGAUGGGCCCGCGGCCUAUCAGCUUGUUGGUGGGGUAAUGGCCUACCAAGGCGGCGACGGGUAGCCGGCCUGAGAGGGUGGACGGCCACAUUGGGACUGAGACACGGCCCAGACUCCUACGGGAGGCAGCAGUGGGGAAUAUUGCACAAUGGGCGGAAGCCUGAUGCAGCGACGCCGCGUGGGGGAUGACGGCCUUCGGGUUGUAAACUCCUUUCACCAUCGACGAAGGGUUUCUGACGGUAGAUGGAGAAGAAGCACCGGCUAACUACGUG
rnacentral:rRNA from 1 species